UAGGGAAUCUUCCACAAUGGACGCAAGUCUGAUGGAGCAACGCCGCGUGAGUGAAGAAGGCUUUCGGGUCGUAAAACUCUGUUAUUGAAGAAGAACGUGCGUGACAGUAACUGGUCAUGCAGUGACGGUAUUCAAUCAGAAAGUCACGGCUAACUACGUGCCAGCAGCCGCGGUAAUACGUAGGUGGCAAGCGUUGUCCGGAUUUAUUGGGCGUAAAGCGAGUGCAGGCGGUCUUUUAAGUCUGAUGUGAAAGCCUUCGGCUUAACCGAAGAAGGGCAUCGGAAACUGGGAGACUUGAGUGCAGAAGAGGAGAGUGGAACUCCAUGUGUAGCGGUGAAAUGCGUAGAUAUAUGGAAGAACACCAGUGGCGAAGGCGGCUCUCUGGUCUGUAACUGACGCUGAGGCUCGAAAGCGUGGGUAGCAAACAGGAUUAGAUACCCUGGUAGUCCACGCCGUAAACGAUGAAUCACUAAGUGUUGGAGGGCUUUCCGCCCUUCAGUGCUGCAGCUAACGCAUUAAGUAUUCCGCCUGGGGAGUACGACCGCAAGGUUGAAAC
rnacentral:rRNA from 1 species